UGAUCUCUUGGGUUUUUGUGCCAAUAUCUGGCUCCGGGUUUUUGUUUUUUUUUUUUUUUUUUACUAAUAAGACCAUUUAGCAAUUCGUCUUACAGCGUGCCCUGCCUUUCCACACAUAACCAAGGGAAGGAUGCUUGGAGCUGCAGGAGCCACUGGCGGGUCCUUCAAGGAACAAAUCUCCCCCAUCUUCUUCUGACUUCGUCACAAGCACGGAUGCUUCCCCCAGCAUGGAGUACCACACAAAGUCAACCUGGACCAGAAGUAUUUGAGUUAGGAGGCAAUGCUUCAUCAGAGGGAUGCAAGGCUGUCCACUUCAUCAGAGGGAUGCAAGGGUGCUCACUGAAAGCAGGACAGGCGAAGAUUUCUCCAAAUAGACAGCUCUUGCUGGGAUUAAAGGCGUGCGCCGCCGCCGCCGCCGCCGCCGCCGCCGCCGCCGCCGCCGCCGCCGCCGCCACCACCACCACCCGGCCCCCUACAUAUUCCAAGUCAGCCGUGGUGUGGAAUCUUUGAGCACAUGCAGCUCUUACAGAGGAUCCAGAUUCAGUUCACAGCACCCAGACAACAGCUACAGACAGUCUGCAACUCCAGUUCCAGAGAAGCUGGCCUCUUCUUCUUGCCCACAGCAGACACUGUGGGCACAAAAUAUACAGGCAUGCAUGCAGGCAAAACAUCCAUACCCACAGAAUAAACAUAAAUCUCCUUAAAAAUAAAACAGAAUGGAAAAUUACUAACUAGACUUAUGUUCCUAUCGUCCUUUCAUACUGAACUAAAUGCAUACAUGAAGAUGACCCAGAAAUAAGAUAACAUACCAAAAGAACAAAAUAGAACAAACAAGUUCUGAGAAGUUGACAUAUUCCAUGAAAGCCAUUUAAGCAACAAAAAGCACAUAUGUGUGUUUUACCAUCGAAAAUCUGACACUGAAGACAGUAAGGUGGAUCCACAGGCCAGGGCACUUGCUGGCCACCAGGCCUGACAAUCUGGCUUCAAUCCCCAGGACCUACAUGGUGGAGGGGCAGAUCCAGCUCCCACAGGUCGUCCUCUGACCUCUACAUACACGGCAAACAGGCAAACAU